rnacentral:ncRNA from 1 species
CGGGAGCGGACAGGGGAUUAUUUAUUUUUCAGUCUUUUAACAUACAUCCCCAACUCAAAAGUUGUCCCUAUCUACUAUCUAGCGAAACCACAGCCAAGGGAACGGGCUUGGAAAAAUCAGCGGGGAAAGAAGACCCUGUUGAGCUUGACUCUAGUCUGACUCUGUGAAGAGACAUGAGAGGUGUAGCAUAAGUGGGAGGCCGUGAACCCUCGCGGUUGUGUCGUGCCGUCAGUGAAAUACCACUACUUUCAUCGUUUCUUUACUUACUCGGUGAAGCGGAAAGCGGACCAUGAGUGUCCACGCUUCUAGCACUAAGUGCAAGGCCCAUUCGUUG